rnacentral:rRNA from 1 species
AGCGAACGCUGGCGGCAGGCUUAACACAUGCAAGUCGAACGCCCGGGCAACCGGGAGUGGCAGACGGGUGAGUAACACGUGGGAACAUGCCCUUCGGUUCGGAAUAACUCGGGGAAACUCGUGCUAAUACCGGAUACGUCCGUAAGGAGAAAGAUUUAUCGCCGAAGGAUUGGCCCGCGUCCGAUUAGCUAGUUGGUGGGGUAAAAGCCCACCAAGGCGACGAUCGGUAGCUGGUCUGAGAGGANGAUCAGCCACACUGGGACUGAGACACGGCCCAGACUCCUACGGGAGGCAGCAGUGGGGAAUAUUGGACAAUGGGCGCAAGCCUGAUCCAGCCAUGCCGCGUGAGUGAUGAAGGCCCUAGGGUUGUAAAGCUCUUUUGUGCGGGAAGA